GAUGUUGGGUUAAGUCCCGCAACGAGCGCAACCCUUGUCUUUAGUUGCCAUCAUUAAGUUGGGCACUCUAGAGAGACUGCCAGGGAUAACCUGGAGGAAGGUGGGGAUGACGUCAAAUCAUCAUGCCCCUUAUGCUUAGGGCUACACACGUGCUACAAUGGGUAGUACAGAGGGUUGCCAAGCCGUAAGGUGGAGCUAAUCCCUUAAAGCUACUCUCAGUUCGGAUUGUAGGCUGAAACUCGCCUACAUGAAGCUGGAGUUACUAGUAAUCGCAGAUCAGAAUGCUGCGGUGAAUGCGUUCCCGGGUCUUGUACACACCGCCCGUCACACCACGGGAGUUGGAGACGCCCGAAGCCGAUUAUCUAACCUUUUGGAAGAAGUCGUCGAAGGUGGAAUCAAUAACUGGGGUGAAGUCGUAACAAGGUAGCCGUAUCGGAAGGUGCGGCUGGAUCACCUCCUUU
rnacentral:rRNA from 3 species